rnacentral:rRNA from 1 species
UACGAAGGGGGCUAGCGUUGCUCGGAAUCACUGGGCGUAAAGGGUGCGUAGGCGGGCCUUUAAGUCAGGGGUGAAAUCCUGGAGCUCAACUCCAGAACUGCCUUUGAUACUGAAGAUCUUGAGUUCGGGAGAGGUGAGUGGAACUGCGAGUGUAGAGGUGAAAUUCGUAGAUAUUCGGAAGAACACCAGUGGCGAAGGCGGCUCACUGGCCCGGUACUGACGCUCAUGUGCGAAAGCGUGGGGAGCAAACAGG